rnacentral:rRNA from 1 species
UCUCUAGCUAUGUUGAGGCGCGGCAGACGGCUCAGUAACACGUGGCUAACCUACCCUCAGGACGAGGACAAACCCGGGAAACUGGGGCUAAUACUCGAUAGGUGAGAAUGUCUGGAAUGAUUUCUCACUCAAAGGACCUUGGAAACAUGCUUCCAUUGUCGCCUGGGGAUGGGGCCGCGUCCGAUCAGGUUGUUGGUGAGGUAAUGGCUCACCAAGCCUAUAACCGGUACGGGCCGUGAGAGCGGUAGCCCGGAGAUGGGUACUGAGACAAGGACCCAGGCCCUACGGGGCGCAGCAGUCGCGAAAACUCCGCAAUGCACGAAAGUGUGACGGGGCUACCCCGAGUGCCAUCCGCUGAGGGUGGCUUUUCCUUGGUAUAACUAGCCGAGGGAAUAAGGAGAGGGCAAGACUGGUGUCAGCCGCCGCGGUAAUACCAGCUCUCCGAGUGGUAGGGAUGAUUAUUGGGCCUAAAGCGUCCGUAGCCGGCUUAGCAAGUCUCCUGUUAAAUUCAGCGACCUAAUCGUUGAGCCGCGGGAGAUACUACUAGGCUAGGAGGCGGGAGAGGUCGACGGUACUUCUGGGGUAGGGGUGAAAUCCUAUAAUCCCGGGAGGACCACCAGUGGCGAAGGCUGUCGACUAGAACGCGCUCGACGGUGAGGGACGAAAGCUGGGGGAGCGAACCGGAUUAGAUACCCGGGUAGUCCCAGCCGUAAACGAUGCGGGCUAGGUGUUGGGGUGGCUACGUGCCACUUCAGUGCCGCAGGGAAGCCAUUAAGCCCGCCGCCUGGGGAGUACGGCCGCAAGGCUGAAACUUAAAGGAAUUGGCGGGGGAGCACCACAAGGCGUGAAGCUUGCGGUUCAAUUGGACUCACGCCGGU